rnacentral:rRNA from 1 species
GAUGAACGCUGGCGGCGUGCCUAAUACAUGCAAGUCGAGCGAACAGACGAGGAGCUUGCUCCUCUGACGUUAGCGGCGGAAGGGGGAGUAACACGUGGAUAACCUACCUAUAAGACUGGGAUAACUUCGGGAAACCGGAGCUAAUACCGGAUAAUAUAUUGAACCGCAUGGUUCAAUAGUGAAAGACGGUUUUGCUGUCACUUAUAGAUGGAUCCGCGCCGCAUUAGCUAGUUGGUAAGGUAACAGCUUACCAAGGCAACGAUGCGUAGCCGACCUGAGAGGGUGAUCGGCCACACUGGAUCUGAGACCCGGUCCAGACUCCUACGGGGGGCAGCAGUAGGGACUCUUCCGCAAUGGGCGAGAGCCUGACGGAGCAACGCCGCGUGAGUGAUGAAGGUCUUCGGCUCGUAAAACUCUGUUAUUAGGGAAGAACAAAUGUGUAAGUAACUAUGCACGUCUUGACGGUACCUAAUCAGAAAGCCACGGCUAACUACGU